CAGCAGCAGCCGCGGUAAUACAGAGGGUGCGAGCGUUAAUCGGAUUUACUGGGCGUAAAGCGUGCGUAGGCGGCUUUUUAAGUCGGAUGUGAAAUCCCUGAGCUUAACUUAGGAAUUGCAUUCGAUACUGGGAAGCUAGAGUAUGGGAGAGGAUGGUAGAAUUCCAGGUGCAGCGGUGAAAUGCGUAGAGAUCUGGAGGAAUACCGAUGGCGAAGGCAGCCAUCUGGCCUAAUACUGACGCUGAGGUACGAAAGCAUGGGGAGCAAACAGGAUUAGAUACCCCGGUAGUCCCUGUCUCUUAUAC
rnacentral:rRNA from 1 species